UACGUAGGUGGCAAGCGUUGUCCGGAUUUACUGGGCGUAAAGAGCGCGCAGGCGGCUGGUCAAGUCCGAUGUGAAAGCUCCCGGCUUAACUGGGAAAUUGCAUCGGAAACUGAUCGGCUGGAAGGUGGGAGAGGGUAGCGGAAUUCCCGGUGUAGUGGUGAAAUGCGUAGAUAUCGGGAGGAACACCAGUGGCGAAAGCGGCUACCUGGCCCAUUCUUGACGCUG
rnacentral:rRNA from 1 species